GGAGGGAUCGCAUAGUCCGGCCGAGUGCGGUGGUCUCGAAAACCAUUGUCCGAUUUAUAAUUGGACCGAGGGUUCAAAUCCCUCUCCCUCCGCCA
rnacentral:tRNA from 1 species